AGAGUUUGAUCAUGGCUCAGAGUGAACGCUGGCGGCGUGCUUAACACAUGCAAGUCGAACGAGAACGGAUUAUAGCUUGCUAUAAUUGUCAGCUAAGUGGCGCACGGGUGAGUAAUGUAUAGAUAACCUGCCCUCUAGAAAGGAAUAACAGUUGGAAACGACUGCUAAUGCCCUAUAUGCCUUUAAUACAUAAGUAUGCAAGGGAAACGCUUUAGUGCUAGAGGAUGGGUCUGUAUGGUAUCAGCUUGUUGGUGAGGUAAUGGCUCACCAAGGCUAUGACGCCUAACCGGUUUGAGAGGAUGAUCAGUCACACUGGAACUGAGACACGGUCCAGACUCCUACGGGAGGCAGCAGUGGGGAAUAUUGCACAAUGGACGAAAGUCUGAUGCAGCAACGCCGCGUGGAGGAUGACACAUUUCGGUGCGUAAACUCCUUUUAUAUAGGAAGAUAAUGACGGUACUAUAUGAAUAAGCACCGACUAACUCCGUGCCAGCAGCCGCGGUAAUACGGAGGGUGCAAGCGUUACUCGGAAUCACUGGGCGUAAAGAGCGUGUAGGCGGGUAUAUAAGUCAGAAGUGAAAUCCAAUAGCUUAACUAUUGAACUGCUUUUGAAACUGUAUACCUAGAAUGUGGGAGAGGUAGAUGGAAUUUCUGGUGUAGGGGUAAAAUCCGUAGAGAUCAGAAGGAAUACCGAUUGCGAAGGCGAUCUACUGGAACAUUAUUGACGCUGAGACGCGAAAGCGUGGGGAGCAAACAGGAUUAGAUACCCUGGUAGUCCACGCCCUAAACGAUGCACACUAGUUGUUGUGAG
rnacentral:rRNA from 1 species